rnacentral:rRNA from 1 species
CCUACGGGAGGCAGCAGUAGGGAAUUUUCGUCAAUGGGCGCAAGCCUGAACGAGCGAUGCCGCGUGAGUGAAGAAGGCUUUCGGGUCGUAAAGCUCUGUUGCGGGGGAAAAAAGGCAGCAUCUGGAUAUGGGUGCUGACUGAUGGUGCCCCGCCAGAAAGUCACGGCUAACUACGUGCCAGCAGCCGCGGUAAUACGUAGGUGGCGAGCGUUGUCCGGAAUGAUUGGGCGUAAAGGGUGUGCAGGCGGGCCUGCAAGUCUGGAGUGAAACGCAUUAGCUCAACUGAUGCAUGGCAUUGGAAACUGGGGGACUUGAGAGCAGGAGAGGGCGGUGGAACUCCAUGUGUAGCGGUAAAAUGCGUAGAUAUAAGGAAGAACACCAGUGGCGAAGGCGGCCGCCUGGCCUGUUGCUGACGCUGAGGCACGAAAGCGUGGGGAGCAAAUAGGAUUAGAUACCCUGGUAGUC